UACGAGGGGGGCAAGCGUUGUUCGGAUUUAUUGGGCGUAAAGGGUGCGUAGGCGGUUUGGCAAGUCUUGUGUGAAAUCUUUGGGCUCAACCCAAAAGUCUGCAUAAGAAACUGCCGGGCUUGAGUAUGGGAGAGGUGAGUGGAAUUUCCGGUGUAGCGGUGAAAUGCGUAGAUAUCGGAAGGAACACCUGUGGCGAAAGCGGCUCACUGGACCUUCUGACGCUGAGGCACGGAAAGCUAAGGGGAGCAAACAGG
rnacentral:rRNA from 1 species